rnacentral:lncRNA from 1 species
AUCACUUAAAACAAAUGUAAUAUCAAGGAAAGGAGUAUACAAAAUAAGCUAGACUAGGCAAACAUGAAAUAAAUAAAGAAUGAUGGCAGAAUCAAGCAGUAAACAAUACUAAUGUUUAAUCAUUUUAACUUCAACUCAGUUUACAGAUCUUUACACAGAGACUCAGUCAGACAUCAUUUUCAGUCACAGUUCAAAAGAGUACCUGGAAUUCGAAAGAAACAACACAGGAAAUGAGGAGGCAGUAGCAGAACAGUAGCAUGAAGCAGUAUUUUAGCAGCAGAGACAACCAAGAAAAUCAGCUUUAACCCAAAAAAUAAAAUGCAAUACUCAACACAGCACGACCAGAACUUCAAACAAAGAUUUUACAAACUAAAAUUCCCUCUAUUCUAAACCCAGAUGAAUCGGAAAGUGUUUCAGAAAUCGAAAACUUCAGAAAUCCAAGAAAAGCUCAAUGGAAUAGUAGCAGUUUUUUUAGUAGUUUCAGUUUUUCCUCACUUCUGACUCUAUCUCUUUAGCUCUUUUUUUUUGUAUCUCCCCUCAGUCUAUUCAGCUCUUUUAAAUAGACAAUUAGCUUAGUGCUUUUUCCAUUACCAAUUCACCUUUUCAUUUCUUAAUUGUCCACUAAUUCAGUGCUUUUAAUUAAUUCGGUAAUGCAAUUUCUACCCUACCAUUAUUAGAAGUUUCUCAAUUAGUGACCACUUGCAUAAAUCAGUCAAUUAUUAUACACAUUUAACCAAACUCAAGAUAAUCUUCAAUUUAACCGACUAAGUUAUUAGACGAGAUAUGAUUUCCAGAUUCUAAACAAACUGACCACACGAACCUAUGAAACCAAGAACAAAUUCAUCAACAUUCUGAAAAAACAAACAACGAACAGAAAAUAGUUUAUGCCAGAAGAUUGGUCGAGUUUUCAAUUGAAAUCGACCAGAGAAAAGAAAAAGAGAUGAGGAAAGACGAACAUCAGAAUAAUACCAAUUAAACUAUAAAUAUAGAAAAUAGGACAGAAGAACUCACCGGUCAGAAGUAACUAAAGAAAACCUUCGAAUCUUCAAUUUUUAAACCAAAUUUUGACUUUAAUUGUGUGUUCUUAUCAAGAAUACACAGAUAAAGUCAAAAUUAGAUUAAAUGUUCGAUGAAUCUUGACUUUGCAGUUUUAGGUUUCAAGCUUAGAUUCAUUAUUCGACAAGUUCUGGUUUGAUUCGAAGGUAACAGAUCGUGGAUUAGGGAAGAUGUGGUUGUGGUGGUCAAGGGGUGUUAGUUUGGGAUUGACUGGAGGUGGCGCCGCCACCGGAAGGCGAGGGUAAAUGGUGGCGGCUACUAGGGUUCAUAGCCUAAAAUCAAGAUUCGAACCGUUUUAAGGGUGUUCGAAGGAAACUAACUAUGGAUUAUGAAAGAGGAGAUCAAGGGGGUUCUGGGGUGUGAGUUUGGUGGCGAACGGAGCUGGCGCCGCCGGCGACAACCAGUGGAAAUUAGGGCGGAGAGCCUCUAGGGUUUGUGGAAUUUGAGAGAGAUGAGGGCGACUGAGGGGGGUGGGGUCUGUUUGGACAAAUAUAUAUUGGGGUGAAAUUGGAUCCAGGCCGUUCAAUCAAACGAGAUCAACGGCUUGGAUCAUCUGACUAAUUGGUACGUCGUCGUUUGAGUGAUUUAAAGACCGGAUCGGUCUCAGAUUAAAUGGGUCGAGGUCGGGUAAUGGGCAAAGCUUUGGGCCGUUCGAUCAAAUGAAAUUGACGGUCCAGAUCAAAACGUGUCCAAACGACGUCGUUUGGUUCUGGUAGGGGUGGACCGGGUAGGGAACGAGUUGGGCUGGACUGGGGAUCAGGUCUGGCUGGGUAAUUGUUUGGGCAAUGGGAUCUUUUGGCCCAGAUUUGAUCUCCUCUGUUUUAUUAACUUUUUUUUCUUUUCUUUUCUUCUUUUUCUUUCAAAAAUUAAAACUAAAAUCCUAAUUAAAUUNNNNNNNNNNNNNNNNNNNNNNNNNNNNNNNNNNNNNNNNNNNNNNNNNNNNNNNNNNNNNNNNAUUACAAAAAUAUGUUAUUAUUUUUUGAAUUUUCAUUUUUGUAAAACACCAAAUUAUUAAUUAAUUCCAAAAAAUGUAAAAAUCAAUAUUAAAUGCCAAUGCUAUAUUUUUGUAUUUUUAAUGCAUUAAUAAAAUUAAACAUGCCCAUAAAUAUAUACAAACAAUCAGGAAAAUCACACAAUAAUUCCUAAAAUAACACAUAAUUAAAGAAAAGACCUAAUUUUGGGAAUUAAUUUGGAGUAAUUCGUAUGAGGCAAAAAUCACGUGCUCACACCCCUGCACAUUUAUAUGGAACUACGAGAAUGCACCCGGUAGAUUCCCCCAGUACUGAGUAUUUACUUUUGGGACUACGGAACGGGAUUUCGGUAGAUCCCCGCGCACUAUGAGUUGGACUACUGGACGAGAUCCCGUGUGAUCCAUUGGAUAUGCACAUAUAGGAUUACAUGACGGUAUCCUGGGAGAUCGCCGAUUGUUAUUAUUGGUGCUGAGCUGUAUUUCCUCUCCGUGUUUACCUUGUUUCGGUAUAGUUGUUGUUGUCCUGCAUAUCUUGUGUUAUCUUCACUACCGUACUUAUUUAUACUGUUCUGUUCUAUACUGUUGAACUUAUAUUUUUUUUUAACCUCAGUAGGGCCCUGACCUUUCUCGUCACUACCCAACCGAGGUUAGGCUUGACACUUACUGGGUACCGCUGUGGUGUACUCAUGCCUCUUCUGCGCAUGUUUUUCAUGUGCAGAUCUAGAUACCGCUACUCAGGCAUACCAUCCUUGAGGGAGGCGACUGCUUUAGAGACUUCGAGGUACAUCUGCUGCGUCCGCAAACCGAGGAGUCCCUUUCUAUUCUAGUUGAUAAACAUUGCCCUUAUUUAUUUUCUUUCUUAUUAGAUAUUCUGGAGUUAGACUGUUAGAUAUACCAAAGGCUUGUGUUUCCGUGAGUUUCCGGGUUUUGGGAUAGUGUACUUGGUUUGAGAACGUUGUGUUGUAUAUGCGGAGCGACAUUAUACUAUUGUUUCCAUUCAGUUAUUUUGGUUUUGAUUAUUUCUUCUGCAAGUUUCAUUUAUGUUCCACAUUUGUUAGGCUUACCUAGUCGUAGAGACUAGGUGCCGUCACGACAGUUCAUAGAGGGCGAACAGGGGUCGUGACAAGUUGGUAUCAGAGCUCUAGGUUCAUAGGAGUCAUGGAUCACAAGCCGGUUUAAUAGAGUCUCGUUGAUCGGUACGGAGACGUCUAUACUUAUCUACAAGAGGCUAUGUAACUGUUAGGAAAAUUCCACUUCAUUUGAUUUCCUUGUCGUGCGAUAUUUUGACAUCACAAAUCUAAACUUCUGUCUUCUAUUCUUUCACAGAUGGUGAGGACACGUGCUACCCGAGAUGAUCAGGCAUUCGCGCCCCCUACUACAGCCGUCAGAGGCCGGGGCCAGGUUAGAGGCCGAGGACGCGCACGUGGUAUAGCCAGAACACCUGCACGAGCUACCGCCGAGGUACCACCAGUAGUUCCAGCCGGAGUCCAGACACCUGACAUGCCUACUGCUACUACUACUCCAGCUCUUCAGCAGACUUUGGCACAGCUCAUGAGCAUGUACACCACUCUAGCUCAAGUAGGGUUGCUUCCCCUUACUGCAGCUACAUCUCAGGCCGGGGGAGGAGCACAGACUCCCGCCACCCGCACUCCUGAGUAGCAAGUGCAUGUUGAGCAGGCCCCUAAGAUUAUUCCUGUAAUGCCUGCAGUGCUAGUUCAGCCCGAGGACAGGGCAGCGGCUUCCAAGGAGGAGCGGCUGAGGUUUGAAAGGUUCAAAAGGUACAAGCCUCCUAUAUUCAGCGGUCUAGCAUCGGAGGAUGCUCUAGGAUUUCUAGAUGAGAGUUGCCGCAUUAUCCAUACCAUGGGUAUAUCAAGAUCGAGCGGGGUUUCUUUCACUACUUUCUAGCUUCGAGGAGUCGCCUAUGAGUAGUGAUGCAUUUAUGAGUUAGAUAGUCCAAUGAGGCUGCUGCACUGAUUUGGACUCAGUUUUCAGAUCUGUUCCUGAGAGAGUAUGUUCCUCAGAGCCUUAGGGAUGCAUGUCGCACAGAGUUUGAGCAUUUGCACCAGGGUUAUAUGACUGUCUCAGAGUACGCUGUACGUUACACCAGUUUGGCUAGGCAUGCACCAGCCAUGGUUUCUACUGUUUGCGAGAGGGUUCGCCAGUUUAUUGAGGGCCUUAUUCCCAGCGUUAGGUCUAGCAUGGCUUGUGAGUUGGAGAUGGAUAUUUCUUAUCAGCAGGUGGUGAACAUUGCUAGGAGGAUUGAGGGUAUUCAUGCUAGGGAGAGAGAGAAGAGAGAACCCAAGAGGUCUUGAGAGUCAGGCCAUUUCUCUGGUGCCCGUGCCCCAGCAUCAGGUCGUCAUGGUAGGGGUAAUAUGAGUCGCCCUGUUCAUUCAGCUCUUCCAGCAGCCAGCGGUGUUCCAGCUCCUCCUAGACCUCAGGAGCCUUAUUAUGCACCACCGGUAUCUAGCGCGCCUCCUAUGUUGAGUGCUUUCAGAGGUCAGUCCAGCAGACCUGGCCCGAGCCAGCCACAGUCGCCACAUCCUCCCAGAGCUUGUUUUGAGUGUGGUGACACACGUCAUAUGGUGAGGGAUUGACCCAGACUUGGGAGGGGUGCACCUCCACAGACUUCUCAGUCAUAGUGUGCCCCGCAGAGUUCUCAAGCUAUGGUUACAGCUCUAGUUGCUACCCCGGCCUGCUCAGCCAGCUAGAGGUGGAGGUCAGGGAGGUAGAGGUCACCCUAGAGGGGGAGGUCAGGCUAGAUACUAUGCCCUUCCUGCCCGUACCGAGGUUGUUGCCUCCGAUUCUAUCAUCACAUGUAUUAUACUAGCUUGUCAUAGAGAUGCAUCGAUUCUAUUCGAUCCAGGCUCCACUUAUUCUUAUAUGUCUUCUUAUUUUGCUCCGCAUUUGGGUGUAUCCCGGGAUUCUUUGAGUUCACCUAUUUAUGUUUCUACUUCUAUGAGAGAUUUUCUUGUUGUGGACCGCGUUUAUCGGUUGUGUUUGGUUGCUCUUAGUGGUUUUGAGACCAGAGCCGAUUUAUUGUUACUCAGUAUGGUUGACUUUAAUAGUAUCUUAGGCAUGGACUGGUUGUUGCCUCAUUAUGCUAUUCUUGAUUGUCACGCAAAAAUAGUGACGCUGGCUAUGUCAGGUAUACCGCGUGUUAAGUGGAGGUGUACUUUAGAUCACACUCCUGUCACACCUCCUUUUUUACUAUCCCGGGAAGGGAGUAUAAGGGAGUUUUUUCCAAUUUAAGUGACAAUCAAAACAGGAUAUAUUUAUAUUAUUCAUUUAGAGUCACUACUUGGGAUAAUUUAUGGUAUCCCAAGUCACCAGUUUAAAUCCCGAAUCAAGGAAAGAUUGACUCUGUUUUAUAGUCCGUGAACAUAGAAAUCCGGGUAAGGAAUUCUGUUAACCCGGGAGAAGGUGUUAGGCAUUCCUGGGUUCCGUGGUUUUAGCACGUUCGCCCAACUAUUAUUGUUGGCCUAUUAUCUGAUUUUAACACAUGUUUAGAACCUAUUGUGCCCUUUUUAACCUUUUAACCGCUUUUAUUUAUUUAAAGAAUUAAUUCAAGAUUAUUUAAAACAUAUCACAAGCCACGCUACAUGAAAUGCACCCGUGAUUCGUGACACGUUCUAUUUAACCUUGUUGAAAAUUGGAGUUGGGUCACAUAAAAUGCACACCCGAGUUUAAGGAAAUUAAUUUAAAUAGGGCGCCUAAAGCAACGACGCACUUUCAAGUUUGAGAGGGCCAUAGAAAAUUCAACUAAUGGCACACAUUGAUUUCUAAAGAGUAAAAAUUGAUUACCCGAGGGCCAUGGGCUUAGGGGUUUUAUUCGGCAUGGCACGCCUCAAAUUAUUUCAAAGAGUUUUAUUAUUUGAAGCUAUUAUAAUCGGGUUACCUGAAAUGCACCCCCGAAUUGAGAUUCACGUAUCGUAACCAUGCCACAGGAACCAAACCCAUGACCAUGAUAACUUAUUAAUCAUGCCCAAAGCAGAACUACAACGUUCAAAAUUGUUUAACACCUAAGUUUGAGAUGAAAGACGAAGUUCAUCCGUUAUGGGAUAAUGAUUAUGGGAAAAGUGUAACAUUGGAUUGCUUGUUCAUUUUUGAAGAAUUGGACUUGACAAUUAGUAAGGAUUUCCACGACACAACAUUGUGCUUUUUUCAUUCUUGUAUUUUGGAUUCAAAAAUCAAAAUUAAGCAAUUAGGUUCUUAAGACCAAAGUAACAACACACAAUAGUAGCAUUACGUUUCCUACCCAUAACUAAUGGCCUAAACCCAUGAUGAUCCCUUACGGCAACCAACUUAUCCUUAGUAACACACACCAUAGAAUAAGCACCUUCAAUUUUUUACGUCAUGGGCAAUAAACAAAGGAACUAAAUUACAGAUACAGAAACAUUCAGAAACAAAUCAUUCAUAAAUAGGGUAAACAGAACAAACGAAGUAAAAGAAGAAAUCUCACAUUGAACCUUCAUAUAAAUGGAAUUAAUCACUGUUAAUCCGACCAAAAAUAGAAACCUCAAACAGAACUGCGAUCCAAACCUCGAAGCUCGCCGAAACCGUGACAAACUUCCACCAUGGGCCUCGUCGGCACCUCGGAUUUGCUCGAUUUCUUUUAGAGAUGCGACUGUGUGUGUGUAGGAUGGUGGGAGUGAGGCUGCUGGGAGCUCGAUGGCUAUGGUGUUAGGAUCUCGGAAACAAGAGGGGGGCUGGUUUUGUCGCAAACAAUUGAAUGGUUUGAUUUUUUUUGGAGUUGCGGCUUUCCAGCCUUAGGCGUUGCUUUCUUCAAUGUCUAUCUCUUAGAGUCUUAGACAUUUUUUGGCAUUUUCUUUUAUCUGUUCCGAGGACCAAAGUGCAGAUGAUGCUUGUGUCUAGGCUUCGUAUUUUUCUGUAUUGUUCAGCUGAAGAAGAUGAAGUCGGGGGUGGGGGUUGUUUUUGUGUAUUGCGGCGCUGAUCCUCUUAGGGAUCUAGGCCUGAUUUUUU